CGGGACGGGUGAGUAAUGUCUAGGGAAACUGCCCGAUGGAGGGGGAUAACUACUGGAAACGGUAGCUAAUACCGCAUAACGUCGCAAGACCAAAGGAGGGGGACCUUAGGGCCUCUUGCCAUCGGAUGUGCCCAGAUGGGAUUAGCUAGUAGGUGGGGUAAAGGCUCACCUAGGCGACGAUCCCUAGCUGGUCUGAGAGGAUGACCAGUCACACUGGAACUGAGACACGGUCCAG
rnacentral:rRNA from 1 species